GGGCCUGUAGCUCAGGUGGUUAGAGCGCACGCCUGAUAAGCGUGAGGUCGGUGGUUCGAGUCCACCCAGGCCCACCA
rnacentral:tRNA from 9 species